CUUCAUCAGCCAGUUCAAUAUUUUGUACAAACAAAAUUUUUAAAACCCUUUUGAUUCAUCCUAUUCUAUCAGGAAUGUUAAACUUAUGCAACUAGACACAAUGUCGAAGUACAGAGGGAAAAAAAACAAAUUAAAGACUGACAAUAAUAAAAACACUUUACUCUAUUGCAUCCAAGAAGUACAUGUCUUUUAACACACAGUUCAUAAUAACCAACUUGUUAAUGGCAUUGUAGAGUUUAACUAAUUAGUAUAACUCUUGAUAAAAUAUAAAAAAAUUAUUGUAUCACAUUGUAUAGUUUUAUACCGGUACAUGGGAUAAAAAAAUAUAUAUAUUGUAGCAGGACCAUGGCUGUAUAAAUAUAUAUAACAGAAGCUAAUAAAUAUUUUAAAAUGUGAGAUCAGAUAUGAUGUGGAACUGAUGUUAUAUACUA